rnacentral:rRNA from 1 species
GCUCCGGCGGGUAAAGAUGGUGAUGCGCUACAGUAGCUAGGUGGUGAGGUGAUGGCUCACCAAGGCUACGAUGUGUAGGGGGUGUGAGAGGAUGGUCCCCGCGCUUGGUACUGAGACACGGACCAAACUCAUACGGGAGGCAGCAGUAGGGAAUAUUGGUCAAUGGACGCAAGUCUGAACCAGCCAUGCCGCGUGCAGGAUGACAGCCCUAUGGGUCGUAAACUGCUUUUAUAAGGGAAGAAACCCCUGGAUGCGUCCGGGGCUGACGGUACCUUAUGAAUAAGGAUCGGCUAACUUCGUGCCAGCAGCCGCGGUAAGACGAAGGAUCCAAGCGUUGUCCGGAUUUACUGGGUUUAAAGGGUGCGUAGGCGGAGUGCUAAGUCAGUGGUGAAAGCCCGCAGCUCAACUGCGGAACUGCCAUUGAAACUGGCACUCUUGAAUACGGUGGAGGUAGAUGGAAUGUAACAUGUAGCGGUGAAAUGCUUAGAUAUGUUACAGAACACCGAUUGCGAAGGCAGUCUGCUACACCGUGAUUGACGCUGAGGCACGAAAGCGUGGGGAGCAAACAGGAUUAGAUACCCUGGUAGUCCACGCCCUAAACGUUGAUUACUCG